rnacentral:tRNA from 1 species
CAGAGCGUAGCUUAACAGCAUAGCAUCUCCCUUACACCGAGAAGACACCCGUGCAAACCGGGUCGCACUGA